rfam:Gossypium raimondii Chr08_contig_715, whole genome shotgun sequence.
UGUUAAAAAUUUUAUCCAUUUGUAUUGUUAAAAACUAGUAUGGUUGACGGAAUAACCAGACAGUAGCAUGUGACGUGUCACGUGUACCUUAUGUUGAUGUAUAUGAACCGUUUUUUAACAGCGAAAAUGAAUAGAAUUUUUAAUA